rnacentral:lncRNA from 1 species
GCGAGCGACUCCUGCGCAAGCGCAGAGUGAAGGGCCGGGAACAGUGGAGGGUGCGAGGAAGACAAUGGGGGAGGACCCUGAGGCGGCCUCUGUGAGCCGACAGGAACACGUGGUCGAUCAGAGAGAGACUCAGGAGGUUCGUGAACGGAUGGGGAGGACCCUGAAAAGCACUGUGGAAUACAGGUUUCUAGUAACUUCAAAAUCACAUCAUUUGGACUGGAGAACCCAAAGAUGGGAUCUUCUGAGAACAUCAGAGAAACGCUGCCCUUGGCAUCAUCACUGCAACAAAACAUCAGGAUCUUGAACCUUGGGGUCAUAAUCUCACAACUGAGCAGGGUCACUCUUGGAACUCUACAUCCAUUGAAACCCUUAAGGUAAAGCUAAUCAGGGAAGUUUCUCCCCAGAAGAAGAUGGCAUCCUUGAUGUGAGCAGCUCUUUCUGAAGAUCAUGGAUCAAGACUUCUUACUAUCAUGAGACUCUUAUCUUUGAAUGUUUUUCCGUUGCUUCCGCCUCUGUGAACAACAGAAGUGAGAAGGGGGUCUGUUUUGUGCACUUAUGGGGUAUACUUUUAUUUGUGAAGGGCUUUGCAGCCAGCUUUAUACAUGGAUAAUCUUAUAACUUGAUAGAUAAAGAUGAAGGCCCAGUGUAUCAUAGGUGAGAAACUUCAAUGGUACAUAUGGUGCCUCAUAAUCAUUCAGAAGCAGAACAUUGGUUCACUCCUCUUAACCCACAGCAUGGGUUAAAGAGACCAUUGCCAAGAGGCCUUCCCUCUUCUAGAAGGGCAUCAUUUGUUAGGUCCUUUUUCCAUGGUUUGGAAUUAAAAAGGCAAUGACUAGAAACAUAUCCCUCAUGGUAGACUCUGUAGCAGAUUCUACUGUAAAGGCUACACAACAGAUGUUAAAUUCUCUUGUGAAAGUUAUGCUAAAAAAUAGAAUUGGCUAAACAGGAAAGUACCUGUGCAGAUGCUGGCACUUAAGGCCUAUGGAGAAAACAUCAGGUGUUAUAGAGAGUCUGUUGUAGGGAAUUAACGAAAAGACCACUGAGUUAAGUCAAAGAAUGGUCUAUUUGAGUUUAGGUGGUCUGGUUUAUGGGGACCCUGGCUAAGGAGCAUACUCCAAAUUCUUGGUGUUAACCCUCUCAGUAGUCAUAAGAAUAGUCUCCCUGGUGCACUGUAUUCUCUCAAAGGUUUUAAAUGUUUGCAUGAAGCCAUCUUUAGAACGUCAGAUGGUCUCUCUUCAACUGGAAUGACAAGAGCUGAAAGAAAUGUGUGACCACGAGGACACCGAAACCGAUGAGUGACAUGCUGAGACUGGAAAUCCAAAAUGAUAGUAACGGAGAGUGGCGCUAACAUCCUAAGUUUUGGUCACACUCUUGCCUAAGUGACAACCUGACAAAGGGGGAAUUUUUUAAACAAAAUGAUGGGAGGCCAUUGUUUUGGACUGAGCACUAGGUCCCAACAGACCAAACCGAACCAAAAUGGCAUCAUUCGUGCUAAAUGUGACAUAAUCGAAUUAAGACUUUAAGGAAACACAUGGGUCCUAGAAUAGACCAGGUUUUGUUUUUCUCUUGCAAACAGGACUUUCCAGCAUAAGGUGGUAUCCUCAACUCAGUCCUUGUUCCUACCUUUGCAAAACUCACUGUUCUGCUUCCUAGUGGGUUUCAAGACCAAUGGUGACAGUGACAUCAAUAACUCAAGUUUCGAUCAAUCUCUCAAAACUGAUAAAAUGACCAAAAAGGGGGAAUUGUUAAAGCGAACUAAAUAUGGCCUGAGAAGGACUCCGUACUUCUGUAUUGGAGUCCCUGUGAACAAACUGAGCCUAACUUAAUAGGUAGACAAGAUUGAAAACCUAAAUUAGGAGUAUGUACCUGUCACAAUUGCUGAGUCUCGGCCAGUCCCAGCAGCCGUACUUCAAUCACUCAUACACUGCUGAAUGUUCAAACUGUGUGUAAAUAAGGCAAAUGCCAACCUGUAACUAAUCCAGGUGUUUCUCUACCUCACUUCCCUUUUUUUGUCUAUAAAUCUUCCACCACGUGGCUGCACUGGAGUCUCUCUGAAUCUGCUGUAAUUCUGGGGGCUGCCCGAUGUGCAAAUCAUUCAUUGCUCAAUUAAACUCCUUUAAAUUUAAUUCAGCUGAAGUUUUCUUUUAACAAGAGUGAGAUAAGAAUCUGUGUUCUUAUCCCCCAGAAUGGACAAAUCAGUAGCGUUCCUUGUCAUUCUUUUGUGGCUGGUUUCACGUAAAUAUUUUGAGCUUCUUUGGGAUGUCCGCUCUGCAUAUCUACUAAGGAAUUAAGAAAUAAUGGCUUCAGCAAGAAACAAGGCAGGAAAGUGCAGUGACAUGAGGACCAUACAGGGAAGGAGCUGUCCCCAAAGGUGAGAAUGGCCCUGGACAAGGGUUCUUGCUGUGACUUCACUCAGACCAGACCACCUUGACCUUUUCAUCACCGUGCCUCAGCGAAGUCAGUCGUUGAUUCUCUGAUCGGUUACUGAGAUCAUCAUGAAAUCUCCCUCGUACGAGAGUUGCAGAACUCUGCAGUGUCAAUCAUAGUGUUUGGGAGAGAGGACUUUCUACCUCCAUCCUUUUUCUGAACCUAAAUGGAAUGAAAAUUAGAACUGUUGCUUAUUCUUUGAGGUAAUUUCAAAUUCCCUUAUCCAAACCAGUGUUACAAAAGGACUCCAGUUUGCCCCCCAAAUCGGUCUAUUAAGAAUGUAAUGAUGAAUUUUCA